AGGCUGGUCUCAAACGCCUGGCCUAAGCGAUCCACCCACCUUGGCCUCCCAAAGUGCUGGGAUUACAGGCGUGAGCCCCUGCACCUGACCUAUUUUACUUUUUAUAGCUUUUAUCUCUGCCUGACAUUAAAUGCCAUAUCAGGUUUUUUUUAUUAUUAUUAUUGCCCAUCUCCCUCCAAUAGGAUUUAGCCCAACAAAGGAAAGGAUGUCUCUGUGCAAACAGCCUGGUACAUAGUCCAUGCUUGACAAAUAUUUGUUAAAUGAUUGAAUGGCUUGGAAAAACCCAGAUGAAUGAGGUGAGGAGGGUGGGGACGGGUAUCCAAGCACAGGGAACAGCCUAUGGAAAGGUCUGGAGCUUCUCCGAUCCACCUGCCUCCUCUCCUGCAUGGAAGCCUAGGUGCUUUUUUUUUCUGAGACAGAGUCUCACUCUGUCACCCAGGCUGGAGUGCAGUGGUGUGAUCUCGGCUCACAGCAACCUCUGACUUCCGGGCUUAAGUGAUUCUGCGUGAGCCACCACGCCUGGCCACCUGGGUGUUCUUUCUAGGGUCAGGAAUUAAGGGGACAUUUGG
rnacentral:lncRNA from 1 species